GCAAAUGUUUUAGUAAAAUAUUAAGUUGAGCAGACCAAUUUCCGUUACUAAGAAACUGGUCGUCACACUUUCAAAAUACUCUGCUGUUGAAGCACCGGCUUCCUCCAACCUGGACUCGGCGGGGCCUUGAGCUGCAUCGGUGUGCAGCAGGUGAGACCCAAGCCUACUGAAACUGUUAGAAUCCCCAUGCUGUUUUCCCAAGGAGUAUUCCAAUACCAGAAGAAUGGAAACUUCCCAUGUUCCAAAGGAAGACUUCCCAGGUACCGGGUCGAAGGACUUGGCUGGCAAAGGAAAGGAGAGUAUGCUCACAGCUCCACAAGGGGCCUGGAGGCCAGACUGCCUACAUGGAACCAGCUGCGGGCAAAUUGGUGUGCGCCUAAUUACUUCUGAAGCAAAAAUCUUUAUUUAGAGACAGUUAUAGAACCUCAGAACGUGCCUUUACUUGGAUAUAGGGUCUUUGCAGAUGCAAUUAAUUAGGAAGAUGGGCCCUAAAUCCAAUGCCUGAUGUCUUUAUAAGAAAAGGAGAAGACACACAGAGAAGACUACAUGAAGAUGGAGGCAAAGAUUGGACUGAUGCAUCGACAAGCCAAGAACUGCCAAAGAUUUGGUGGAGCAGCUAGAGGUGGAAGAUGCAAAGAAAGAUCCUGCCCUAGAGCCUUCAGAGACUGUACAGCCUACCAGUGACUUGAUUUUGGGCUUCUACCCCCCCAGAACUAUGAGAGAAUAAGUUUCUGCUGUUUUCCACCACCGAGUUUGUGGUAAUUUGUUAUGGCAGCCCCGCCACCAAAUGCAUUUUCAUGUUUGCCUCCAUACUAUGGAGUGGAAUCCUAUGUUAGAAACACAGCGUGGGGAUCCCUGGGUGGCGCAGCGGUUUGGCGCCUGCCUUUGGCCCAGGGCGCGAUCCU